CGGCAACAGCUCAAAUUUGAAAUCUGGCUCUCGGGCCCGAGUUGUAAUUUGUAGAGGAUACUUUUGAUGCGGUGCCUUCCGAGUUCCCUGGAACGGGAUGUCAUAGAGGGUGAGAACCCCGUC
rnacentral:rRNA from 1 species